AAGACCAAGACUUUGAUGAUAGUACUUGAGAUCAUCGCAAUACAUCAACACCACAGUCUCUACAUACACAUCUCACACUCCAUUCUCUCUUCGAGACCUCAUCUUCUCCCUGAGAACUUGCUCUUUUCUGAUCAGACCCUCUUGUGCACAUCAAUGGUCACUCUGUACCAAUCUCUGCCCACCAAACGCAGCUUCUUUUCUCAAGCUAGUGGAAUCGUUCGGACAAGGAGGAGAGGCUA